GGGGGGGUUCACAUUUUUUGUGCAACCAGCGGGUGUGAGAGAGGGGCACUAGUUGUUGAUGGGGAUGCAGGUGGGGGGGGGAGUGAGAGAAAGAGGACAACAAAAGGGCUGAAAGGAGAACCCCUAACAGCUGUCAGGACAGAGGGCUAGGAAACUGCACUGCCCGGACCAAAUCCAUUAUCCGCAUGAGCGGUCACCUAAGCAUACAGCUAUCAUGCUCACUUUUAUUUGGCUAAUUUGCGUUAGCAUGCAGCUACCACACACACUGUUAUACAGGCAACUUGCAUCAGAGUACAGCUAUCACACAUACUUGGGUCCAGGCGUUUUUUCAAAAAUUGGCGGUUUGCCUGAGUUUAGUGCUGCAAUGACCCUCUAUGACCCAGUGCUGUAAGUUAGUCGAGUGCCACGUGAAGCAGAAAAAGCACCAAUAUUUGAUAUCAGUAUCAUUAGCCAGCUUUUUCCAAGGCUCCUGAUUACGCGUUUACUUUGAAAAUUAAAUGACAUGGACAUCCCUACGUGUCACACUGUUCACAAGUGACGUCAGCUUCCUGAAAGCAUUGGCACUUAAUUUUUGUUUUCAUUUGAACAGUGAAUCAUGCUGUUUGCUAGAAGUUUGACAAACUUUAGCUUUGAGUUUUGUAUCUUUUGUCAUGAAGGACUUGUAUAUGUGUAUAUUGUGUCAGUUGUGUGUAGAUCGUAAAAUGACAACAGUAAGGUUACCAUACGUCUGGGUUUCUUUGGACGCAAAUUUUCAUUUUACAUGGUGGUUUGGGAACUUAUUAAUAUUCAUAAAAGAAGUGCUACGGGAUUGAACGCUGAGCGCUAGAACUCAUUAAUAUUUCAGGAAAGUGCUACCUGAUUGAUCAGUGAAUGUGAAAACUCAUUAAUAUUCUGAUACCCAGACACAUCCUCUUUUCCAUCUCGCCAAAUAUGGUAACCCUAACACGCUGUUAUAUUCCUAACUCACAUUAUUAUGCAGCUGUCACACACACGAUUACACAGGUAACUGGCAUUAUUCAUGCAGCUGUCACACACACUAUUUUAUACAGGUAACUCACAUUAGCAUGCAGCUGUCACACACACUAUUUUAUACAGGUAACUCACAUUAGCAUGCAGCUGUCACACACACUAUUUUAUACAGGUAACUCACAUUAGCAUGCAGCUGUCACACGCACUAUUUUAUACAGGUAACUCACAUUAGCAUGCAGCUGUCACACACACUAUUAUACAGGUAACUCACAUUAGCAUGCAGCUGUCACACACACUAUUUUAUACAGGUAACUCACAUUAGCAUGCAGCUGUCACACGCACUAUUUUAUACAGGUAACUGGCAUUAUUCAUGCAGCUGUCACACGCACUAUUUUAUACAGGUAACUCACAUUAGCAUGCAGCUGUCACACGCACUAUUUUAUACAGGUAACUGGCAUUAUUCAUGCAGCUGUCACACGCACUAUUAUACAGGUAACUGGCAUUAGCAUACAGCUGUCACACGCACUAUUAUACAGGUAACUGGCAUUAUUCAUGCAGCUGUCACACGCACUAUUUUAUACAGGUAACUGGUAAUUUCAUGCAGCUGUCACACGCACUAUUAUACAGGUAACUCACAUUAGCAUGCAGCUGUCACACACACUAUUAUACAGGUAACUGGCAUUAUUCAUGCAGUUGUCACACGCACUAUUAUACAGGUAACUGGCGUUAGCAUGCAGCUGUCACACACACUAUUAUACAGGUAACUGGCGUUAGCAUGCAGCUGUCACACACACUAUUAUACAGGUAACUGGCAUUAGCAUACAGCUGUCACACGCACUAUUAUACAGGUAACUGGCAUUAUUCAUGCAGUUGUCAUACGCACUAUUAUACAGGUAACUGGCAUUAGCAUACAGCUGUCACACACACUAUUAUACAGGUAACUGGCAUUAUUCAUGCAGUUGUCACACACACUAUUAUACAGGUAACUGGCAUUAGCAUACAGCUGUCACGCGCACCAUUAUACAGGUAACUGGCAUUAGCAUGCAGCUGUCACACACACUAUUAUACAGGUAACUGGCAUUAUUCAUGCAGCUGUCAC